CAAUGGGCUUAUAUUGAAGCAAGGGAGGUUUAGGUUGGACAUUAGGAAAAAGUUCCUAACUGUCAGGGUGGUUAAACGCUGGAAUAAACUGCCCAGGGAGGCUUGUGGAAUCUCCAUCAUUAGAGAUUUUUAAAAGCAGGUUAGACAAACACCUUUUUCUAAAUAAUA